rnacentral:rRNA from 1 species
UACGGGAGGCAGCAGUGGGAAUAUUGCACAAUGGGCGCAAGCCUGAUGCAGCCAUGCCGCGUGUAUGAAGAAGGUCCUUCGGGUUGUAAAGUACUUUCAGCAGUGAGGAAGGUGGAUAUGUUAAUAGCAUAUUCAUUUGACGUUAGCUGCAGAAGAAGCACCGGCUAACUCCGUGCCAGCAGCCGCGGUAAUACGGAGGGUGCGAGCGUUAAUCGGAAUUACUGGGCGUAAAAGCGCAUGCAGGUGGUUUGUUAAGUCAGAUGUGAAAGCCCGGGGCUCAACCUCGGAAUUGCAUUUGAAACUGGCAAACUAGAGUACUGUAGAGGGGGUAGGAAUUUCAGGUGUAGCGGUGAAAUGCGUAGAGAUCUGAAGGAAUACCGGUGGCGAAGGCGGCCCCCUGGACAGAUACUGACACUCAGAUGCGAAAGCGUGGGGAGCAAACAGGAUUAGAUAACCUGGUAG